GGAAGGAUCAUUAACACGUAUCCACGUACCCACCCCCGGUCACUUGGUUUUUACCGCCCUACGCUUUACAUGAAUAGGAACCGAUAGGAUUGAUUGGAUGGGGCCGGUAAAACGGUCGCUCCUAUCGCUAUUUACGCAACCGAAAGGAAGCGUUAACGAUUGUAGUAAAGAAGUAGGCAAAAUUCUAUUACGAACUUCUCCAUUCAAGAUGGGCGUAAUAGAGCAUUAAUCACCCUUAUCACCCCCUUUUUGCUAGUUGACUUUAUUAUGUUGUUUUCAUUGUAAUUAAUUUUAUGAUGGACUCACACGUUUAUUUAUUUAAACAAUUAAACAACUCUUAGCAAUGGAUAUCUUGGUUCUCGCAACGAUGAAGAACGCAGCGAAAUGCGAUACGUAAUGCGAAUUGCAGAAUUCAGUGAAUCAUCAAAUCUUUGAACGCAAAUUGCGCUCUUGGGUAGCCCUAGGAGCACGCCUCUCUCAGUAUCGGUUCAAUCACCGCUCAGCAGCGUUCGCACAUAUUUAUAUGUACGAAUGUGAUGGCUGGAAAAUGAGUGUCUGUAUACUAGUGAUACAGUCGCUUGAAAUAUAUGGAGUGAUAGACAACCCGUUUAUUCAACUCGCCACUUUUCGAAGUGUCGAUAGUUCUUCUCGGACGGUUGAUAACGAGUGACGUGAAUACUGACCUCCGGGUCUCUCUUUUUACGUGUAUCUCGAUAUUUACCAUACAGUCUAGGAAGAAUGAACGAAAAAUCAGGUACUAUCAUGUAAAGUGGCGCAAGCUACAAUCGGCUAUUAACGAUAAUUUAAUUAUUGAAGAUAGUCUGAAUUUUGAUCUGAGAUGAAGCGAGACAACCCCCUGAAUUUAAGCAUAUUAAUAAGGGGAGGAAAAGAAACUAACAAGGAUUCCCUCAGUAACGGCGAGUGAAGCGGGAAGAGCUCAAUUUGAAAAUCGAUUACCUAAACGGGUCAUCGAAUUGUAGCCUAGAGACGUACUAUCAGCUGAAACCUGGGUAUAAGUUCUUUGGAAUGAGGCAUCAUAGAGGGUGAGAAUCCCGUAUAUGACCCAAAGCUUUCAGCGUACGAUGUAUGUUCAUCGAGUCGAGUUGUUUGGGAUUGCAGCUCUAAAUGGGUGGUAAGUUUCAUCUAAAGCUAAAUAAUGGCGAGAGACCGAUAGCGAACAAGUACCGUGAGGGAAAGAUGAAAAGAACUUUGAAAAGAGAGUUAAAAGUACUUGAAAUUGCUAAGAGGGAAGCGCUGUCAACCAGUGAUAUGCGUCGUUCAUCGCUUUCAGCUCCACUAGCUGUCAUGUGUCGUUGGAAACUCGACAUGCGGCAGCGAAAGGGUGGUUGGGAGUUUAGGACGGCGUGUCAGUCAAGAUCCAUUCGAUGAGUGGGAGAAGGUGGGGGGAAAGGUAGGAGACCUGUCUCUGUUAUAGUCCCCUCACUCUACCUCGCGUUGGAUGGAGGAAGGAAUAGUGCGCCGCUUGCGGCUUGGUCCCGUGCUCCUAUGUCUUUAGUUGCUCUGAUCGCAAUGCUAUCUUUGUGACGACUGGCCAUACUGGGUACGACGAUUCUAUGUGCUAUCACGAUCUUGUACGAAAUGGUUGUCAUCGACCCGUCUUGAAACACGGACCAAGGAGUCUAACAUCUAUGCGAGUAUUUGGGUGAAAAACCCGCAUGCGUAAUGAAAGUAAAGGUAGCUUCGGCUGCUGAGGUAGGAAUCCGGUCAAACGGAGGCACUAUCGACCGAUCAUCACUUGUGAAAGAUUUGAGUAAGAGCAUAUCUGUUGGGACCCGAAAGAUGGUGAUCUAUGCCUGAACAGGGUGAAGCCAGGGGAAACUCUGGUGGAGGCUCGUAGCGAUACUGACGUGCAAAUCGUUCGUCUGAUUUGGGUAUAGGGGCGAAAGACUAAUCGAACCAUCUAGUAGCUGGUUCCCUC
rnacentral:misc_RNA from 1 species